CCAAAUAUCUAGCCUACCUGUCACCACCCAUUAUAACUUUAAUAAAACAUUUUCACCUUUUAGUUGGGGAGACUGAAAAAUUAAUAAGCGCUUUAGACCAAGUACCGAGAGGGAACGAUGAAAUAAUAAUGAAAACUAAAGCCAUUAACACAGCAAGGCUCACCCCCCGUACCUUUUGCAUCAUGGUCAAGCCAGUCCAACUAGACGAAAAGUAUUUUAGUCUAACUUCCCGAAACUGGGUGAGCUACUUUAAAACAGUUUAUAGAACAAACCCGUCCCUGUCGCAAAAGGGUGGGAAGAUUUUUCAGUAGCAGUGAAAAGCUUAUCGGACCCAGAGAUAGCUGGUUGUCUAAGAAAAGAAUCUAAGUUCAACCUUAAGGUUCAAUAUAACCCUAAAUAGACCCCAAACCUUAAGAGCUAUUCAAAUAGGGUACAGCCUAUUUGACCCAGGACACAGCCUCCAACAUAGGGUAAUAUCUAUUGCACCAAAAAGUAGGCCUGAAAGCAGCCNNNNNNNNNNNNNNNNNNNNNNNCACUAAUCCCACCUAAUACCGCGCCCCUCAAAUAACCCCUAAUCACUAUUAGACGACUCCAUAACCUCAUGGAAGACAUUAUGCUUGAACUAGUAACAAGAAUAUGUAAUUCUCCUAAAUAUAAGUAUAAGCCGCAAUAGACAGACCAACGGCAAUUAACGUUAAUAAGCCCAACACAGCAACCCCCUAGAAAACCCUGUUAACCUAGACGUUAAUCUUACACAAGAAUAUUUCAGGAAAGAUUAAAAGGCAGAGAAGGAACUCGGCAAAUAAUAACCCCGCCUGUUUACCAAAAACAUCGCCUCUUGCUUAAACAUAAGAGGUCCAGCCUGCCCAGUGACUCUUCAACGGCCACGGUACCCUAACCGUGCUAAGGUAGCGCAAUUACUUGUCCUUUAAAUGAGGGCCCGAAUGAAUGGCAUCACGAGGGUUAUACUGUCUCCUCCACCCAAUCAGUGAAACUGACCUCCCUGUGAAAAGGCAGGAAUAGUAAUAUUAGACGAGAAGACCCCAUGGAGCUUCAGACUUUGAGCAAGUCAGACACCAAGUCAAGACCUAUGCCCCCACAGUCUUCGGCUGGGGCGAUCAUGGAGUAAAAAACAACCUCCAUGCCGAAUGGAUAAUUCCUUAUCUACGAGCAACGCCUCUAAGAAACAGAAUACUGACGCCCACUGAUCCGGACCCCGAUCAACGAACCAAGUUACCCUGGGGAUAACAGCGCUAUCUGCCUUGAGAGUUCAUAUCGACAGGUGGGUUUACGACCUCGAUGUUGGAUCAGGGUGUCCUGGUGGUGCAGCCGCUACAUAAGU
rnacentral:rRNA from 1 species